UCCUUACAGAGCAUGGCUAUCUUAUA
rnacentral:piRNA from 1 species